GGAUUCGAAUCUAAUCUACCUUAGUCUCAUCCUUUUCUUUCACUCUACAGAAAACGCAGCCGUCACACUCCCCUUUCCUUUCAAGAGCUCUGCUAGGGUUUGAUCCUACGUCCCUUUCGAGCUAGCCAAACCUCGUUCUCCCGUCACCUCUUGGGUCCAUUUUCGAAGUUGUUGGGUUCGUUGAGUCAGGUGUCGAAGUCGUUUGCUAAACCCUUUCCAGAUGUGAAAACCCCUGGCAGUGGCAAUGAUAGUAGGGAUGCUUCAGCUUGAUGGUUAUGGAUGGGUAUUGGAUCCACCGUGGGGCCCAUCGCGGAAGGAGCUUUAUUAGUUAUGAUGGUUUCGCCUAGAACUACUAUUUUCACUUGUGUUCUUGUUUUGGGCCGUGUGAGACCUCUUUGUAUGUGUAAUGAGUAUGUUUGGUGUUCUGUGUACCUCCAUACUCCAAACUCUAUAGUCUUCGAAUAUUUAUGUAUGUGACGUUUUAUUAA